UACGGGGGGGGCAAGCGUUGUUCGGAAUUACUGGGCGUAAAGGGCUCGUAGGCGGCCAACUAAGUCAUACGUGAAAUCCCUCGGCUUAACCGGGGAACUGCGUCUGAUACUGGAUGGCUUGAGUUCGGGAGAGGGAUGCGGAAUUCCAGGUGUAGCGGUGGAAAUGCGUAGAUAUCUGGAGGAACACCGGUGGCGAAGGCGGCAUCCUGGACCGAUACUGACGCUGAGGAGCCGAAAGCCAGGGGAGCAAACGGG
rnacentral:rRNA from 1 species